rnacentral:lncRNA from 1 species
GUAGCCCUCAGCUAACAUCUGCUGCCAAUCCUCCUCUUUUUGCUGAGGAAGACUGGUCCUGAGCUAAGAUCCGUGCCCACCUUCCUCUACUUUAUAUGCAGGAUGCCUGCCACAGCAUGGCUUUUGCCAAGUGGUGCAUAGGUCUGCGCCUGGGAUCCGAACCGCCAAACUUUGGGCUGCCAAAUUGGAACAUGUGAACGUAACCACUGUGCCACUGGGCCGGCCCCAAGAAAAGUCUUAAUUAAGCUCCCUUCCCAAACAGUUUUUUCUUUAGUGAGUAACACAACUUUAUUGGUGGCGGUGGUGUUCUCAGUCAGCACAUGAACAGUUCCCAGCAACUUGGAAAUCUCUUAUUUCAUUCAGCUUGUACACCUUUCCACGUGGCCAGGCUUCCUACGAGUGCAUUUAAUUUUGAUUAAAUUACCUUGGCAUGGAUCCCCCGCCCCCAGUCUUGAGGUCUAAAAGAAUUAGUGAAUUCAGCCGGAGAAAAUGGCAGCAGUCAUUACUGGUUACCUAACACCGUACAGUCUGGAAGAAUAGAAUCUAAUAGCUCUCCCACACCUGGGCUCCAGCAUCCUGCAGAUAAGGCCUUUGAGGUGCGGAGAAGUUAAACAACAGAGUUCACACAGCCAGUCGAUGGUGGAAGUGACAUGAAUCCAUUCUUUUGGACUCAAGAUCCUGUCGGCUGAAGACAAAAACAGAAUGCAGAACCCUGGGCUAGUAGGAGGAAAAAACUACAUUGUUUGGAGAAUUACUCCAGAAUGUUUAAACCCCGUGAAUUUGGCAGCAUAAGGGAUUUCUUCUCAAGGGCCAUAUCUACGGAUACAGCCAGAUACUGGCUUCAAAAGAGCUUGUUUUAUUAACCUCAAGAAGUUAUACAGAACAUGCCAAUUGAAAGACUCUCUUAUUCUGGGAAGAUACAGAUCAAAGAGACUUUUUUCUUUCCUUACUAGCAUCUAUAAG